rnacentral:rRNA from 1 species
UACGUAGGGAGCAAGCGUUGUCCGGAAUCAUUGGGCGUAAAGCGCGUGUAGGCGGUCCGGUAAGUCGGCUGUGAAAGUCCAGGGCUCAACCCUGGGAUGCCGGUCGAUACUGCCGGGCUAGAGGGUGGUAGAGGCGAGUGGAAUUCCCGGUGUAGCGGUGAAAUGCGUAGAGAUCAGGAGGAACACCCGGGGCGAAGGCGGCCCUCUGGCUCGACCCUGACGCUGAGGCGCGAAAGCGUGGGGAGCGAACGGG